UAAACCGAGUUUCAGUUCAUGUAAACAUCCUACACUCAGCUGUAAUACAUAGACUGGCUGGGAGGUGGGUGUUUACUUCAGCUGACUUGGAAUGU
rnacentral:miRNA from 1 species